rnacentral:rRNA from 1 species
GAUGAACGCUGGCGGCGUGCCUAAUACAUGCAAGUCGAGCGAACAGACGAGGAGCUUGCUCCUCUGACGUUAGCGGCGGACGGGUGAGUAACACGUGGAUAACCUACCUAUAAGACUGGGAUAACUUCGGGAAACCGGAGCUAAUACCGGAUAAUAUAUUGAACCGCAUGGUUCAAUAGUGAAAGACGGUUUUGCUGUCACUUAUAGAUGGAUCCGCGCCGCAUUAGCUAGUUGGUAAGGUAACGGCUUACCAAGGCAACGAUGCGUAGCCGACCUGAGAGGGUGAUCGGCCACACUGGAACUGAGACACGGUCCAGACUCCUACGGGAGGCAGCAGUAGGGAAUCUUCCGCAAUGGGCGAAAGCCUGACGGAGCAACGCCGCGUGAGUGAUGAAGGUCUGCGGAUCGUAAAACUCUGUUAUUAGGGAAGAACAAAUGUGUAAGUAACGAUGCACGUCUUGACGGUACCUAAGCAGAAAGCCACGGCUAACUACGU